UACGGUGAUUAUAGCGGCGGGGUUCCACCUCUUCCCAUUCCGAACAGAGAAGUUAAGCCCGCCAGCGCCGAUGGUACUGCAGAAAUGUGGGAGAGUAGGUCGUCGCCCUUCUUUUUAAACCCUGUGUUCUUAGUUGAGCGCAGGGUUUUUUUAUG
rnacentral:rRNA from 1 species